rnacentral:rRNA from 1 species
UACGUAGGGUGCAAGCGUUGUCCGGAUUUAUUGGGUUUAAAGGGUGCGUAGGCGGCCCUGUAAGUCAGUGGUGAAAUACUCCAGCUUAACUGGAGGGGUGCCAUUGAUACUGCAGGGCUUGAGUUAAGUUGAAGUUGGCGGAAUUGACGGUGUAGCGGUGAAAUGCUUAGAUAUCGUCAAGAACACCGAUAGUGAAGACAGCUAACUAAACUUUUUACUGACGCUGAGGCACGAAAAGUGUGGGGAUCAAACAGG